rnacentral:lncRNA from 1 species
CACACUGCCUCUUGAACCUCCUCCACCAACUGCAUCACUUCUAAAGCCUCAGCAUCCUCUUGAGUUAUCACCUCCACCAGACCAUCCCUAAAUCCCACAGAAGGAGACUUCUACUGAUGAUAUAGAUUCUUGUAGAAACCUCGGAUGGCGAUUUUUAUUCUUGCUUGAUUUCUGACCAACCUCCCAUUAAUUACCAAAGCAUCAAUCCUGUUGUUCCUCCUUCUUGUUGAAGCUAAAUUGUGGAAGUACCUGGUGUUUCUGUCCAUGUCUUUCGCAAGCCGGGAACGUGACAUUUGUUUCCAGUUCAAUUCUUUUCUCACAUACCACUUCUCACAGCAAGUCAC